rnacentral:rRNA from 1 species
AUGCGUCGCGGCGGGCGUCCGCGCCGCCCGAGCCCAGGAAUGGGGCGAGCCGUUGUGGCGCUCAAGAUGGGCGCGCUGCUCGGGCAGCACAGCGGCAGCAGGGCCCUCCUCGCGGACCAUGCACCGGCGGUGACGCUCUUCGGGCACCGCCGCGGCCGGCUGAGCCUGGCCACCCACGAGUGCACGCGGGCACCGCCGGCGUUCCUCAUCGAGCUGCCCAUGUUAGCGGCCGCGCUGCACAGGUAG